rnacentral:tRNA from 1 species
GGGGCUGUAGCUCAGUGGUAGAGUACUUGCCUUGCAAGUGUGAGGCCUGGGAUUGAUCCUCAGCACCA